CUAGGGCAGGAGCACCAGAUAGCUCGGGACCACAGCACAGACACCAACCGGAAAUUAUUUGAGGAAAUACGCACUGAUUUUUAAGUUGAAGCUAGUUGGUGGUGAUUUACGGCUCGCAGACUUCAGAGAAAAUUCCUUUGUUCCAGAGAGGGAGAUACCGUGUGUCUCUGUCAAAGCUUUGUCUGCACUCUAUCUGUCGAAGGUGGCGACUCAGGAAGCAAAGCAGAGUGACUUCAAACCGGCACAAGAUCAGUCAUCUGAACUUGGGAGACGAAUAAAACAAAUGAAGAGUAAACACUUGCUUCAUCCAUUUGGUUCACAUUUGGCCUGUAUACAGUUGUUGAAAGCUUUGGAGUUCAGCUAAUUCACUGACGACUUGCAUCAGUCAGGUGGUACUCGGAAGGUAAUACAAACGUCUCAUUAACGGAAGCAUGUUUGCGCACGCUGAAGCAUGGACCCCGUAAGAACCAACUUAGUGCCAAAUGAUGAUUGCAUCACUUUGUUCU